rnacentral:rRNA from 1 species
AUUGAACGCUGGCGGCAGGCCUAACACAUGCAAGUCGAGCGAGCGGCGGACGGGUGAGUAAUGUAUGGGGACUGCCCGAUAGAGGGGGAUAACUACUGGAAACGGUGGCUAAUACCGCAUACUAUCGGAUAACCCAUAUGGGAUUAGCUAGUAGGUGGGGUAAAGGCUCACCUAGGCGACGAUCUCUAGCUGGUCUGAGAGGAUGAUCAGGCACAACUGGACCUGGACACGGCCCAGACUUCCACGGGGGCAACAAGGGGGGAUAUUUCCCCAUGGGCGCAAGCCUGAUGAACCCUGCCCGGUGUAUGAAAAAGGGCUUAGGGUUGUAAAGUACUUUCAGCGGGGAGGCGUUACCCGCAGAAGAAGCACCGGCUAACUCCGUGCCAGCCGCCGCGGUAAUAC